UAAUUGAAGAGUUUGAUCAUGGCUCAGAUUGAACGCUGGCGGCAGGCCUAACACAUGCAAGUCGAGCGGUAACAGGAGAAAGCUUGCUUUCUUGCUGACGAGCGGCGGACGGGUGAGUAAUGUAUGGGGAUCUGCCCGAUAGAGGGGGAUAACUACUGGAAACGGUGGCUAAUACCGCAUAAUGUCUACGGACCAAAGCAGGGGCUCUUCGGACCUUGCACUAUCGGAUGAACCCAUAUGGGAUUAGCUAGUAGGUGGGGUAAAGGCUCACCUAGGCGACGAUCUCUAGCUGGUCUGAGAGGAUGAUCAGCCACACUGGGACUGAGACACGGCCCAGACUCCUACGGGAGGCAGCAGUGGGGAAUAUUGCACAAUGGGCGCAAGCCUGAUGCAGCCAUGCCGCGUGUAUGAAGAAGGCCUUAGGGUUGUAAAGUACUUUCAGCGGGGAGGAAGGUGAUAAGGUUAAUA
rnacentral:rRNA from 1 species